rnacentral:rRNA from 1 species
UACAGAGGGUGCAAGCGUUAAUCGGAAUUACUGGGCGUAAAGCGCACGUAGGCGGCUUUGUAAGUUAGAGGUGAAAGCCCGGGGCUCAACUCCGGAAUUGCCUUUAAGACUGCAUCGCUAGAAUUGUGGAGAGGUAAGUGGAAUUCCGAGUGUAGAGGUGAAAUUCGUAGAUAUUCGGAAGAACACCAGUGGCGAAGGCGACUUACUGGACACAUAUUGACGCUGAGGUGCGAAAGCGUGGGGAGCAAACAGG